rnacentral:pre_miRNA from 1 species
CAUGACACCCAAGCGUGUCUGGAAUGACAGAAUGGUCCUCCGGACCGCUGAUGUGGCAUGAA